GUCCAGACUCCUACGGGAGGCAGCAGUGGGGGAUACUGCACAAUGGGGGAAACCCUGAUGCAGCGACGCCGCGUGGGUGAAGAAGUAUUUCGGUAUGUAAAGCCCUAUCAGCAGGGAAGAAAGAAGACGGUACCUGACUAAGAAGCCCCGGCUAACUACGUGCCAGCAGCCGCGGUAAUACGUAGGGGGCGAGCGUUAUCCGGAUUCACUGGGUGUAAAGGGAGCGUAGACGGCCGUGCAAGCCAGGAGUGAAAGCCCGGGGCCCAACCCCGGGACUGCUCUUGGAACUGUGCGGCUAGAGUGCGGGAGGGGCAGGCGGAAUUCCUGGUGUAGCGGUGAAAUGCGUAGAUAUCAGGAGGAACACCGGCGGCGAAGGCGGCCUGCUGGACCGCGACUGACGUUGAGGCUCGAAAGCGUGGGGAGCGAACAGGAUUAGAUACCCUCGUAA
rnacentral:rRNA from 1 species